rnacentral:rRNA from 1 species
UACGUAGGUCCCGAGCGUUGUCCGGAUUUAUUGGGCGUAAAGCGAGCGCAGGUGGUUUAUUAAGUCUGGUGUAAAAGGCAGUGGCUCAACCAUUGUAUGCAUUGGAAACUGGUAGACUUGAGUUCAGGAGAGGAGAGUGGAACUCCAUGUGUAGCGGUGAAAUGCGUAGCUAUAUGGAGGAACACCGGUGGCGAAAGCGGCUCUCUGGCCUGUAACUGACACUGAGGCUCGAAAGCGUGGGGAGCAAACAGG